rnacentral:lncRNA from 1 species
AGAAAGUCUCCUUUGCCCUGGGCGGUCUCCAGCAGGCCGCUCACGAAAACCACUCUGGACCUGGUGCUUGAGCUGAGGUUGCACGGAAGAAAUGAACUUGGAGAUCCCAACAGCUGGAGGAGGAUGGCCAGCAAGCUGGGACAAAGCACCCCACUUCCUCUCUUGGCUGUCAACUUCAACGGCACAAAAUGCUCGUUUUGUCAGAGAGGACUCCCGGGGCUGGGCUGGUGUUUGGAAGAGCCCUCUUGGAUGGACAGCAGCCGUAAAUCACCACACAACUUCUCUCUGGGAGUCCUCGGCACCAAGGUACAGGGAUGGAUUUCUCAGGCUGCUGGCGUAGCACAGCUUACUUUUGGGAGGCAAGAGAAAGAAAGACACCAAAAGGCUUCACAAGCUGAGCCAGGACCCCCCAAAAGAAGGAAGCAGGAGGUGCUUCUUUGAGGAGGGGCCCAACAAGCUGCUGGAACAUCUGCAGGCUGGGUAGUCCUCCAGGGAGCAGGGAGAGGACCCGGCAGGAGGCAACCUUUCUCCCCAAUUUCUGAGUCUGCCUUGAGAAAUAGGAAUGCUGGGGAGGCCCAAUCAGGGGACAAGAAUGCACCCUCCCUUUCCCUGGCCACCCCUCCCCCACGUGCUUCCUGAGACAGGAAACUUUAAAUUGCUGGGAUGGGCCACCCUAAUUGCUACUCUUUUAAUAACUUGGUUCACUCCUUGCAGCCUCUGUAAACAUUUUAGGAGCAGCAGACUCGUAGCAGGAGCGGAAGCAUAUCCUCACAGGAUGGCCUCUCUCCUACCAUGAGCAGUCAGAGGACCAGCCAUAGCCAACCAGCAACACGCCUGCCCUCCUCUCCACAGCCCUGAAAAAUCCCUGGAACUGAUACUUACAGGUGUCCACUUAGUGUCCCCAAUACCUCCACUGAGGGGACCACCUGAUGCCAUCGGCCCAUGAGCAUCCCCUUGCUGGUGUCUUUAACACAGGGCCUGCUCCAGCCCAGAGCCACAUGGCCCCCCACUGUGCUUCUCUUUCUCAUCAUGAUCCUAGAAAUGACCUAGAGAAGACCCCUCAUUUUAUAAAUAAGAAUUCUGGGAGCACCAAGGUCAAAGGAUUUUUCAAGACAGUGCAGCAAGGUAUUGUCAGAGCAAGGGCCCCAGGACAGGCCUCCUGCUUCACCUGGGACGCCCCCUGCCACACCAGCUGUGGUUCUGGACUUACCCACAACCACCAUGGGGUUUAGGCUCCGGGCUUUCAGAGCCAGCUUCUUAGGUGCAGCCUCCACGAGGUUUUAAUAUCUUCCUCAGAAUCUCCAUAUGGAGGGGACGAGUGGAAUGAAUUAUUUGAAAACCAGUGAAGUCAGAGAGGAUUGGAAGGUACACAUGGAUUCAUCUGGACCCACCUUUUUCUUUAAACUGUUCUUUUUUGUGCAGUCGCUUUGUUUAAUGGUGGACUAGGAGUUCUGAAAUUUGUUUUAUGUGGUUUAUGAUACUUGUGGUUUGGUAGAAGCUCAGAUCCUGGAUGCAAAUGUGAGUGAGAGGGUUUGAGAGGUAUUUGUUGGUUGGUGGCAAGAUAAGAUAUUUUCUAUUUUUCCUACCAUUAAAACAAACAAACAAACAAGCCUGUCUAAUCUGCCUUUCUAGGAAGGACUUGGACUGGAGUUAGGCAGUCCAUCUCAGAAAUAAGGUGACCAGUGUCAGGGGACAUAUAGGACAGCAAGGGAGAGAGGUGCUGUCAGUUCUGAGACCAAGGACAAGGGGCCAAGUCCAAAGGGAUCAGCAGUGGUUGAAGAACAGGUUCCCAGAAUUGAAUGGAACUGGGUUUGAAAUAAAAACAUGUUAAGAACUAGAAAAGGGGUUUUCUCUAAGUCGUGGGCACAACUCGGUGUUUGCAGGUGUUCUCUUUGGUGGAUGGAGCUGGAAUGGCUAACAUCGGCAGGAAUCAACUCAAGAAGGUAAUUUUUCAGUGAGGAGAUUUGUUAUGAGGAGAGAGAUUUAUUAGAAAUAAUUCAAGGUUGAUAUUGUUUUAGUAGAAACUUUCCCAAGAAUACAUUCACUCUGAGAACUCUGGGCAUAAGACAUUUGGGACUUCAGCCAUAGAAAUAGGGAAUGAAGGGUUAGAAAGCUGAAGUAGGGUAAGAUGGGGGAAGGCUACUUCACUGGUCAUGGGAGUCACAACCCAGCAGGAGAAGACCAGUACCCACCCAACCAAAGAUGUGGUUUAAAGGAACGUCAGUACUAGGUGGGUGUGGGGCACCAGAAGUGCCCCCAAGGGGCUGGUGGGUGUUUAGAUGGUGAUAAAACUUUAGGCUCUGCAGGCAGGCAGGCCUGGGUUUGAAUUCUUCCCCCACAUCCCAGUCUGGCCUUGUGACCUUGGGCAAGUUUUCAGAACUCUGGAUGGCAAUUUUUCUGUCUUAAAGGACUUAGUUUAAAUGUUGGUCACAGCAGUGCUGACCUGAAGUGAUAGAAAAAACAGGAGGAAGAAAAGGGAGAAUGGAAAGGGGCACAUAAAGAAGAGGGGACAGUGGAGGAAAGGAGCUGUGGUGAGCCCCAGGUGCUGAGGCUUAGCCCGGGUGGAUGUGACAAGUGACCAACAUUGGCAGCUCCCAUGUCAGACCAACACUAGAGCCUCAGCUCGGGGUAGGUUUGCUCAGAUUCUUGUGUUCUAGCUCAGGAUGGCCUUGGACCUCUGCUGCAAGGACAAUGCCCAUUGACAAGAGUCUGCAGGGAGAUCGAGAUCGAAAAUGUUUAUCAUAAAGAUACAUUAAGGAUAAAAUAAAAUAAAGCGCCAUGAUGGGUGAUGAAAGCUCAUCUAACAUUCAGGACACUUGUGCAAUGUUAAAAGGACACAUUGAGAAAAUCAAAGCUUUGCUGCUAGAGUUGAAUGCUAACCAGAUUCAGGGAGGAAGUUGACACCUGUCGUCCCAGAACUCACCUUGUGCUACACUGAAGCCUUCAUUUGAUAGUUGUCCCAGGUGGGUAUUGGAAGAAUAGAUGUUAUUUGCAAGUGAAAUCAGGACUUUGAACAUAGUAGUUAUGGCCCUUUAAUAGGAAGGCUAUUGUGUUGGUUAAUUAUGCUGUAGUGAUACCCAAUUCACCCGGAUUUCUUUCAUACCCUCAAAAAUUCAGAGGGCAUUGAGUGGAGUUAUUUUACUAAAAUGCAAUAAAGUCCUGUGUCUGGGGGAGCUCUUGGCCCAUAAUGGAGAGAGAAUAUGUUACAAACAGAAGAGGCGUGGGCAUCAGGCAGACUAGAGUUUCACAUUGAUCUGUCAACUUGCACUGCCUGCACCUUGUCAUUUACCUUCUCCUAACUUGAUGCUUGUCUCUAAAAAUAAGACAAUAAAAGAUGACAAGAAGUUGUAGAAGGUUAGUGGUUUCCUAUACCUAUCAUGGAGCCUGGCCAAUAAUAAAUCUUCAGUGAGCCGUUAAUCACUCAUGAAUUUGUUUGAGAGAAUGAGGUGUAUAUUUUAGAACACUAAUUAAUGUUGACCACUUUCAAUUCCAAGAAUGUCUUUAUGAGAAUUAUAACUUUAUUUAACCAAUUUGUGAGUGUUGCUGUUGCUGUCUAUCUUUUUUGCCAUCUUCAUUAUUACAUUUUCUUUAUGGUACAGGAUCCUCCUAGAAAAUAAUAAAUACUUAUUAAAGCUUUCUCUAUUAAAUACAAAUCCUCUCGGGUUUUGUACACUUUUAUGUUUUAGCUGCUACAUUACUAUUCUGUGUGUGUGGUGUUGGGAAGGGAAUCCAGGACCUGACAUGUUAGACACGGGCUCUGCCACUGUGCAUGUGGUCGUGCAUGUACAAAAAUAUCUUAUUUAACAGGAAGAGAAAAUUGGGCCAGGAGUUAGACUGGUCAGCUUCCGGUUCAAGCAGACUAAUAGGCAGCUGUGUAGCUCAGAGCUGGUGACUGAGAUUUCGAUAAAUGUUACCUUGGAUUUUACUAUUGUUAUCUGAAAAAAAUAAAAAACAAAACAGAAAUAUCUGUAAGAGCCCUUCCUAUUCUUCCCAUAUUCCUUUUAGUUUUAGGAAGCCAUUUUUUUCUCUGAACCCUUUAACCACUCUGAGGAGUCAUCACAUUUCAAAGGAGCCCAAAGGACAGCCAGGGUUCCCCAGUACAGCAAUCGUGUGGCUCCUGGGAUCAAAGGAAGGUACCUGGGCAGUUCACUUGUUUGGUUAUCAAAAGAGAUCCACCAGGUUGUCUCCUAUUUAAAAAAAAUGGAAUCCUUCCUAGUUAUCUUCAGUCUAAAAUACCCCUCCCCCACAAACCCCCCACAGACUCUGCUUUUUAAUCAGAGCCUUCUUUUAUAGGCAAUGAAUAAAGACCCUUUCCUCCAACAUUAAAUUGGUGUGAAAAUUUGAAAGAAGCUCAAGGAAGCAAAUAAAAAUUUAAAAAUAACAGCAAAACAAAAGGAAGAUAAAAAAGACAGACACUGCAAAACCAAGUGACAGGGAGAGACAGAAAAGCAAAAAAGAGACCAAAAAAAAAACAAAAUAGGAAAGAGGGAAAGAGAUGCAGAUUAUAAACUAAGAGACCUUGGCUAUUUUCAAAUCAAGCCUGUCUUUUUUCCCAUAAUCACAGUUACUUCAUAUCCUCCCAAAGCUGGCAUGUUUCUCCUGGGAAGAUAAAUCCUUUCUGGCAAGCCCUCUGCAUUCGAGCUGAAGCAGGAAGCCCCAGUCAUCAUAGCAUUAUGCAAGCCUGUGUCCGGCCAAUAAUUGCCUAUCUGACAUGCUGGCCUCCCACAUUCCUGAGAUUCAUCUAGAACAGCCAGAAGAUUAGAUUAGUGUGUAUUUUCAGCUAGAGCCGCCAUCACUGCUUGCUGGUGUGCCUCCUGUUAGCUGGAUCAGGACAGGGCCUGUCUGUCAGCCAAGGCCCGCCCGUGGGCCCCUGCCUGUCCAAAGUGUCUGUCUCCUGGGCAGCGGGUUCUUCCUGUGGAAAGAAGGAGCCACAGAACUUUAGGGAGGACUGGUUUGACAUCCCUGCCACCAACAGUGUCCUGUGGUGGGACUCCAUGACCACAAAGCGACCAAGAAAGCUCCAGGUGACCAAGUCGUCCUUCCUGCCAAGUUCACAGAGCACAAGCCAAAGUUCAGGGAAACAGGGAAGGAGGCCCGGGUCUGCACCACCCGCUGCGCCAGCAGAGGUGUUUCUUCACUUUGCUAAGCCUCCGUCCCUUCACGUAUAAAUUAGGCAAAACAACAGCCACUGCUUCAGGUUACUGAUGAUUAAAUGAGAGGAUGUGUACACAAAGCCUCGGCUCAUAGUCCCUGUGAAGAGGUGCUGUUUUUGCCUCCUGGACAUUUGUCAAGCGUGCUCCAAGGUUUGCAAGCUCCUGCAGGACAGACAAUGGUGCCCUUCUUCAUCCCCGAGCCCACCAGGGGGCUCUGUGCCCAGCCAGUCAGGGCCUUUGGGUUAAUAUUGAAGGAAGGAAGGAAAAGGGAGGGAAGGUCACUGAAACAGGAGAGAAGAAAAUGGGAAGAGAGGAAGCGAGGAAGGGGGAAGGAAGUCAGCCACGCUGGGGACAGAGCAGAUGCCGUGACCUCACCACUGGAUUUUCUCCUACUCCUUUUAAUCCUCUAUUCUCUCCUGCUGAUGUCCACUCUGCUUCUGCUUUUAUACCAGUGGAGCCAUUGCCUGGGCUGUCCUCCUUCAUCAUCCCUAGAUCUCAAGUCACCUCUCCGGGCAGCCUUCUUGACUGAGCGAGGGUAUACCAGGGCUAACUUCAAUGAUUCUGCUGUUGUACCUAAUUCAUGUCUCAAUUACCUCUUCCCAGGACUUUAUUCUGGGAGUCCCAGAGCCAGAGUUUUGAGACAAAUGCUCCUGGCAUGACCUAUAUUCUUGAGUCUUAGGACACAGGAGUCUUUGUUUUUUACCAGUACUUCAUAAACUGUGGGCCAUUUUUUUUUUUUUUGGUACGAGAGAUUGAACCCAGGGACACUUAACCACUGAGUCACAUCCCCAUCCCUUUUUUAUAUUUUACCUAGAGACAGGGUCUCACCGAGUUGCUUAGGACUUCACUAAGUUGCUGAGGCUAGAUUUGAACUCUCCAUCCUCCUCCCCCAGGCUCCUGAACCUCUGGAAUCACACCCAUGCACCACCAUGCACCACCAUGCCCAGCGGACUAUGGACCUUUGAUAACUGUCAAGUACUACAGGUGUUUGUUCAGAGGAUAAACAUAUUUCUGUCAAUAAAAUCACAUUUAAUCCUGUACCAAGAGACAGGUUCCAAGGUGCAUCUAUGACAAAAUGAAGAUUUUAAAUGCCAUCAGUAUUUAGAUUCUGUUGCUCAGCACUAUCCCUUCCUUGACCCAGCCUCUCCGCCACUGUCCUAUGUGUCAGCAGGCUUGGGAUACUGGAACAAAGUACCACAAACUGGAUGGCAGAAAACAAUGAAAAUAUACUAUCAUAGAGUCCUGGAGGCUGGGGACCUGAAAUCAUGGGCCAUGGGGCCAUGCUUCUUGGGAAACCUGCAGGGCGUCCUUCCUUGCCUCCUCCGUGGUUUGCUAGAAACCCGUGGCAUCCCUCGGUGUGUGGUUCCAUCACUGUCAUCCUGUUUUCUCCUGGGGCUCUUCCUGUGCAUCUCUGUGUCUCCACAUGGAUGUUUUCUGAUAAGGACACCACUCACUUCAGACACAGAGCCUGCCCUACUCCUCGGUGACCAAAGUGAACUAGUUAUACCUGCAACAGCCCUAUUUCCAGAUACGGUCACAUUCUGAUGUACUGGGAGUUAGGGCUUCAAUGACUAUUUUUUGGAGGACAAGGUUCAGUGCAUACCACACUGUAUCAUCACACAGCAAAUGCCAGACAACCAGGAGCAGAGAAAUGAGCAUCAGAAUGGACAGAAGGAAGAGGUGGCUGAGAAAACGCAGAGAGACCAGGGAAUUACUGUGAGUGACUUUUAUGGUUCAUUUUGAUUGACCUCCAAGUGGAGGGGUGAGACCUGAUUCAAAGGCAUAGAAUUAGGGCACAAGUUAUGGGUCUUCUAAGCAAGAGUCUAAUGAGGCUUCCGUGGGAGCUACACACACGACUCACAGGGACCUGGCAGUAUAAGGUACGUGUGAUCCAGACCUGGAGUUCCACAGAGCAGGUGAGAGAAGGACACGGAUGGAGGGAUGACUAACCCUCUUUAGCCUUGAGGGAGGAGGGGAUUAAAAAGAUUGUCUCAUGUGUGUAAUAAAUUUAGAGAAUUGAAUGGACCCAACCUGUCUUUUAAAAAAUCAUUUAUUAAUUACCCCGUCUUUAGUGUCUCACCUUACUGAGUCCUGCAAUUUGCGAAUUAACUAUUGGCCCAACUCGGUCUAUUGAAGAGAUAAUGGGUAUUAAGGAGAAGCUGGUCUCUGAAGUUGGCUUAUGAAUCAUGACGAUUAUGAGUGACUCACAUUCCUUGUAUCUUCAAAGGGCUUUCUCCUGAUGCACCAGCAGAGGACUCAAUGCUGAGCUUUCUCAAAUGGAGCUUAGCAGUGAAGGUGAGGGCCCUGGAGCUCCGGAAAGGCCACCAAGGAAGAGGGCCUUGAAGAACGAGGAGGGGAGGGCUGUGCGGUUCGCAGCUUCGGAUGGUUGCCACGGAGGUUCGUUAGGCACAACUUGAUGAAGGGCACCCUUGGGAGGUUCUCCCAGCACCGUGCACGGAGCCAGUGGGAGUUGUUUAAAAUGCGGGCCUUUAACUGCUUUGCUUGAGGCCAAGACACUGUGCCAGGGUUCAGAAGCAUUUGAUGGCACUUUUGCGCUCAAAGCACUCAGAGACACCGUGCUUAUUCCCAAAGUGGGAUAUUCCAUGGGCUAAGUAGGUCAGUGACAAUGAGCUAUUGAGGGGCUUGACAACUGCAGCUAGCCGAGAAGACACACAACGAACGGAAUCCCUUUGCCUUCCUCUAAUAAAAGCCACUGGGGCGAGGGGCGGGGGGAACAUUCCUGGGGGUAAAAGAGAUAGCUCUAGAAAAGAAAAGAUAACUGCAAAUGCAACGAAAACCCACAUGAAUGGAUGUAGCACAAAAGAACUGGGUCUCUGGAAUCAGGGGCCUAUUUUCCUAACAAAACAGCACACCCUUUGUGGGGCACCCAGGGCAUAUUAGUUUCUUACCGGAUUUUUUGGUAGGCAUAACUCUGAGAUCAACACUUUCGCUUUUUACUGAUUUUAAACCUGGAGGGAGUGGGCCCCUUACACCAGAUACCCUUCUAACAACCUUUCCCACAGUCAUACUGGAUGAUUGCCUGGGCAGGGGGGUGAACCUACUUCUCUGGCCCUCUUCAACUUUCUGGUCUGAUGGCAGGGAGAAGGGUACUGAGCUUUACCAGAUAUUGAAAGGGCUUCCCCGGGAGCAGGUUCUCAGCACAUGUUCAUUGAAAACUGAACAACCCCACUGGCACACAAGUAGCAGUACUGAACUCUUUUCAAUGGGGAGAUUCAGGGGGGACUCAUGCCCACCUGCUCUCUGGAGCCCUUGAGGCCCCGGAGCUCCUGGGUAGAGCUGCUCCUAACACUUCUCAAGGGAAUUUCCACAUCCAGGACACUGCCCUGCUGAAAGUUAGCAACUGGGUGGCCCCUUCCAAUUAGGACUGCUGGAUUCGGAACUUAAAUGCGUAUAAUGAUCAUUCUUAAUGCAUGUGCUUUACACUCUCAGAGGCUUCCAUCUUCAAAGUGCUUUAUGAACAUUAACUAAUUAAUCUGGGAUACAAAUUGUGCCAAGGCCCAGAGGGCUUAAACUGCUCAGAUCUGGGGCGGUCUCUGUUGAGGGUAACUUCAAGCAAUGCAUGGAAACCCUUUUGCUUGGUGUACGUGGGUGGGGCUGUCAGCAAAGUGCCAUCAACCCACUGCAGACACUGCCCAGUGUCUGGCCCAGUGGGCUACACCUGCACUUGAGGCUACAAAGAAGAGGAAGCCAGAAGCUCUUUGACAAGGGAGUGACACACUAAUGGCUAGCAAACAUUAUGCUUUUAAUAAAAAAUAAAGCUUCGUAGGCAUUUACUUGUUCAAAUAGGUCACAUUCAAGCUUCCAUUGCAUAAAUGAAGAAAUAGGCUCAGAAUGGCAUAAGAAAGAGCCUGAUUUACUAAUUACCCAAGAAACAUUUCUUACCAAAUACAGUAACAGAAGUGACUUACGUAACCCAAAACUUGAUGUUAAAAUAAGUAUGAGAAGUAGAAAUAAUCGAUGCUAGAGACACUCAGAGGUAAAAGGUAAAAUUUCCUUUGGAUAGGUGAAGAAGAUUUGCUUGGAGAUCAGUUUUGUGUUGGACUUCAUUUACUUGCUUAUUUAUUUUAGUGAUUUUACUAAGGCAUAAUUUACAUAAUAAACUGCAUAGGACUCAAGGGUACAUGCAAUAGAACACAAUUGUGGUAUAAGUGGUAUAUGCGAUAGCACACAAUUGUAUAUUAAGUGUAUCCAUCACUUCUAAGUCUCUCAGUGUUCCUUGAAAAUUCCCUUUGUAACCCCAUGCCCCAACCCAUUAGCAGGUAAUCACUGAUCAGUUUUCUAUCAUGACAGACAGGUAUACAUUUUCUAGAAUAUAAUAAAAUGGAAUCAUAUGUUAUGUUUGCACAGCUUCUUUCACUUGUGCAAUUACUUUGCAGUUCAUCCACACUGUAGGGCAUACCUAUUGCUGCUCACACCCUGUUACUGACACAUAGCAGCACAUUCUGUAGAUCCACACAAUAGCAUCAUGGUGAAUAUUCAUGUACAAGUCUUUCUAAGGACCUAUUUCCUGGGAGUGAAAUGGCUAGGCCACGUGAUAAGUCAAAGAUUACUUUAGAAACAGUCAAAGGGAUUUUCAAAAUAGCCAAACCACUUUACAUGCUCAUCACAGUAUAGGAAAGUCACCAUAUGGUAUAUUUACACCAGCAAUUGGCAUAUUACAUCUUUUUAAUUUUUAGGCAUUCCUAAAAUUGUGUAGCAGUAUUCUCAUUGAGAUGGUAAUUUUCACUUCCUUAAUAGCUGAAAAUAUGUCCAGCAUUUUUCAGGUGUUUAUUUAUAAUCCCUAUAUGUUAACCAUUGUAUUUGGUCAAACUCUUUGACAAGUUGUAAAAAUUGGGUUGUUUGUGGUUUUAUUGGUUAUAUAUUAUAUUAUAAACCUCAAAUAUGUUAUUUGUAAAUACUUUUCCCAGGCUUCAGUUUAUCUUUUCCUUAUUUUAAUAGUGUAUAAGAACAAGUUAUUAGUUUUGAUGAAGUUCAAGUUAAACUUUAUUUUUAACGGAUCAUGUUUUUGAUAGGUAUAUAAGAAAUCUUUGCCUAAUUCCAAAUUACAAAGGUUCUAUCUCAGGAUACUUCUACAAGGGGUAUAGUUUUAUCUUUAUGUCUGUGAUGUUUUGAGCUGACUUUUAUAUACAUGUGAGGUAUGAAUCCAAGUGUAUCUUUUUUACGUAAGGAUAUAAAAUUCCUUUAUCAUUAUUCCUCCACUGAAUUGCCUUUGCAUUUCUGUCAAAAAUUAGUUGGGCAUAUCUCUGUUGCUCUACUUCUGGACUUUUAUGUGAAUUUGAGGUGUUUGUCUGCGUUAACCCAACACACUAUCUUGACUGCUAUAGCUUUGUUCUUUUUCCAACUUGCUUGGCUCGUCUAAGUACUUUGCGUUUCUACUUGAACUGUCAAGUCUGCUUGUCAAUUUCUGGAAAAACAUAACAAAACAAAAACCUUUAGGACAUCUUGACUGGAAUUUCUUUGAACCUAAGGAUCAAUAUGGGGGAAGUCUGAAUCUUACACAGUAGCCUGUUCCAUGAAUGCAGCGUAUCUCUUCAUUUCUCUUGGUAAUGAUUCGACGUGCAAUUUCUGCCUGAGUGUUGUUUGCUAUUUUUAUUAUUCAUUUCAUACCUAUCUUUUCAAAGACUUUGCCCCAAGUUCUUUAUAUCCUUCAAUGCUAUAGUAACUGAAAUUGGCAUUUCAAAUUUCAAUUGGUGAUUUUCCAUAGCUAGUUUUUGGAAAUACGAUAUAUCUUUAUAUCCUACCAUUUUGCUAAACUGACUUAUUUCCAGUAGCUUUUUAUGCAGAAUUUAUUGAAUUUUCUGCAUGGAUGACUAUGUUAUCUUACACAUAAAGACAGUUUUACUUCCUCCUUUCUAAUUUGGAUGCUAGCUGGUAUUUUUGUUUAUUUGUUUUCCUUAUUGCACUGGCUAGAAACUCCAAUAACACUAGUGAAAGCAAACACCCUUUCCUUGUUCUCCCUCUGAAGGAGAAUAGGUCCAGUCUUUCCCCAUUACCUGUCCUGCUUCCUGGAGCUUUAUAGUGUCACCCUUUCUCAGGUUGAAAAACUCCUUUCUGUCCCUAAUUGGUGAGGGUUUUUAUCAGAAGAGGAUGCUGGAUCUUGUCAAAUACUUCUUUAGCAUCAACUAAGAUAUGAUUUUUAAAAAUCUGUUAAUAAGAUGAGUUAGACUGCUUUCCAAAAGUUCAAGCAACCUUGCAGUCUUGGUGUACCUCAAUUGUGUUAUGUUAAUUGACAUUUGCUAAGCACUUUGCCUCAGUAUUUAGGAGAGAUGCUGUUUGAUGGCCACUUUUCCUUCUGUCUUUGCUGGCUAUUCUCUUAGAAGGAGUUGGUAAUCUUUCUUUUCCCUCAACUUCUGAUAUUUUUUUUGUAGAAUUAAUGUGAAAAUUAUUGUUAAAAAAAUCACUAGUUUGAAUAGUAAAAUAUAUUAGGAGCUUGUUUGAAUGAAUUAUUCAAUAUUUAUAAUAAAUACUUACCUUUUUGAGCUCAUCCUCAGUCCUGAAUCUUUGAUUUUUCAUAAAAAUUCAUAUUUCCUCAUUAGUCAAGUUUAAGUAACCAAGCGUCUCCUGAAAGUUUUGUUGUUUUUGUUGUUGUUGUUGUUUUUGAUACUGGGGAUUCAGCUCAGGGCUACUUGCCCACUGAGCCACAUCCCCAGCCCUAUUUUGUAUUUUAUUUAGAGACAGGGUCUCACUGAGUUGCUUAGCACCUUGCCAUUGCUGAGGCUGACUUUGAACUCAUGAUCCUCCUCUCUCAGCAUCCCAAGCUGCUGCUGAAAGUUAAGGUAGGGGGUAGGAUCUCCUUUAAUGCCUAUAACAGACAGAAUUCUUCCUUAGAAUUAAACAAAUUAAAAUCUGGAUUUAAAAACAAUAUCAAAUCUGAAAUUGAUGCUUUGAAAUACACUAAAUUAUCAACUAAUUUCUCCCUUCAACCCCAAAUUCAGAGAUUUGCUGAAGGUAAGUUUGUACCAGCUUUCAGGAGACAAUUGUUAAACAUUCAUGAAUUUUGCAAAGUAGUUGUUAAACAGACUUAAUAUUAAAUAUUAAAUCACAUGAACUUACAAUUAAAUUAUAUCAAAAAUAAAGGUAUUAAAUGCUUGAAGCUUAUUACUUUCUAAUUAUUUUACUAUCAUCUAUGCACUUGAAAUCACUAUGUUUAUUUUAGAAAUACUAUGUAAUGAUGUGUUAUUGACAGUCACUCAGUCUCAGGACUUGGUGAUUCAUGUUCAUGGGUUAAAAUCAGCCAUCUGUACAUUUACACCAUGGAAAUUGGCAAAUGCUAUAGAAUAAUACACUGUUUGAUUUAUUGUUUUGUUGAUUUUUCAGGCUUAAGAAUGUUAUGGACAAAAUGCUAAUGCAGAUUAAAUGUAAAUGUGUGUCAUAUCUGUAGCCAAAACACUGUGCAUAAGCAUUAAGCACUGUGAGUAUUAAGCAAAUAUUCUUCCAGCAUUUGAGAACAAUUAUCCAUUCAGAAAGGAAUCACUCACAUCAUUGACAAAUGAGUGAAGUUCAAACAUACUUCUUUGUUGUUCCACUUUCAUCUUCCUUGUUAAGAUAAAUGAAGAUAUCCAGUGAGAUUCAUUCUGGAACAGUACUCAUCUGUCAAUUGAAACCAUAUUUUGUCUAUGGAUACAAGAGUUGGGCAAAAAUAAAGAAUUGCGUGCUGUGAGAGACAAUGGCCUACAUGCAAUAUACAGUAAAGAGUGCUGUAUAUUGUAUUAUUUAUAGAUUACUCACUACAUAUACUUCAUUUCCACAAAAUUAGAUGUAUUUGUUCAGAGACCAAAUGUGAAGCAUUUACCAACCACCACUGUUCAAAAUUCCAUCUAUUAUGAGCCCCUCUGUACACUCACCCAGCCUUUUCCAUGUUAUCUGGUGAUUUCGAGAAUCU